rnacentral:rRNA from 1 species
UACGUAGGGUGCAAGCGUUGUCCGGAAUUAUUGGGCGUAAAGAGCUCUUAGGCGGUCUGUUGCGUCCGCUGUGAAAACUCGGGGCUUAACCCCGAGCCUGCAGUGGAUACGGGCAGACUAGAGGUAGGUAGGGGAGAAUGGAAUUCCCGGUGUAGCGGUGAAAUGCGCAGAUAUCGGGAGGAACACCGGUGGCGAAGGCGGUUCUCUGGGCCUUACCUGACGCUGAGGAGCGAAAGCGUGGGGAGCGAACAGG